CUGUUGCGGUGAGAAGUCCCCUGGGAAAUUGCAUCCAUACUGACCUAAGUUUUCCAGAUGACUCGGUUCAUUUCUGCUCUAAAUCUUUCAAAAGCUAUUUCUUCAGUAAGCUGAUGAAAUCUUGUUCUGGAAGUAUCCUGGAUUCACACAUCUAGAACAUAAUCCAGACUCAUAUAUUCCCAUUAAUAGUGAUACUCUUUAUCUGACGUUCUCCCUACUGCUUUCUCGUGGCUUCAGUUUGACAUCUGAGAGCAAAACACACAGGAAGCUUUUAGUCUCCGUAUUUUUAUGGAAUUGAAAGGCAUUGAAAAUUCUGUGGGAUGGAGAGACAUGAUGAAUUGUUGAAAUACUACCUAAUAUUUAUCCUGCACCGAUUCAAAAUAAGCCAUCCAAGCUUAAAGGAAAAGACUGCUCAUCACUGGAAGCUAAGAACCUUGACGUAUCAGUCCUGAUUUACUGCACCUUACAAAACUUAGAGGGAAGGUUGGAGACAUUCUUUUCCCACUGGGGAGUGCUGAAUGGAAUUGCUGUGGAGUACUGCUUCGUCAGUACUCAGGAGAGUGAGUGUUCACUACCACUGGCUGAGAGAUGCUGCUUCUGCUUGAGAGUUUUUUUUACAGAUAGUGAAAUAUGUGGGAAAGCAACAUAUUGAGCAAAAUGAAUAAAGAAAAAUGGAUGAUUGCAUUAAAUGGUGAUCAGCUUCCAUCACCAUAUCUGUGUACUGCCGCCUUCUCACCUUCUUUCUCACCUACAGAUGAAAAAAUCAAGCUGAGAAAAAAACCCCAGAAAAAACAAAACCCCAACCUAACACUUCUGGGGAAGUGUUUCAGUGCUUAUUUUACCCCAAACUGUGGUUGAUAGUUAAAAUAUCCCUUCUCCCUCUCCCUACGGGAACUGAAAUUCUGAGAACUCCUUGCUCACAAUGAAUGAAACAGUAAUGAAUCAUAUUGGAAUAAAUUUUUCUUUUGAAUUGG